AGCAGCAUGGCGCAGUGGAAGCGCGUUGGGCUCAUAGGAUUACGUAAGCAAUCACAUGAUGUAACCCAAAGGUCGCUCGAUCGAAACGAGCUGCUGCUA
rnacentral:tRNA from 1 species